UUUAACCAAAAGAAAACAUGCUCAUUUUUUUUACAUGUGUAAAUAAACACAUGCUCAAGAAACACUGCAUUAGUCCAUACAUAACAGCCAGCAUUUUUUUGUUUUCAAGGAGAUGUUGGAAUUUACAUUAGAACAAUGUCCACCUCAUCCAGAAACCAAAAAAAAAAACAUCCGAAUUUGGAAUGUGUGAACAAAUUUCGGUGUCUUUAUAUAACUUUUGGUAUAAUAUGACCCCAUAUAGCUCUGUUAUUUAUGACUUUAUAUGUAUCUGCACACUUGUUAUGAUUUCUUUUUCUUAAUUUAAGUGAAUUACUCCCUUUUAUAUCCCUUUUCUCUUAUGAUUAUUUUUAUUUGUAUAUUAAUUAUUUUGUCACUUUUUUUAAUCCCAUUGGCGCUGAAUUUUAUUUCUAUUUUUGUUUUUCUGUUCUGAAAACUCGUGUCUGUUAUUGCAAUAAAAUAAAAUAGAAUUGCGUCUUCUCAUUGGCCUAUAUCCACUGCAGACACUCAGAGAACCAUAAAAUGAGGCUUACAAGCUAGACAGUGCAGAUUCACUUUUUGUUUUAUUUUUUACCAUCAUGUCAAUCGCAUGGGAUUAAUAUAAAAUGGGGUUAUUCUUUACCAGGUGUUUUGGUAAAAGACGCUGUAAUCUUUACCGGCUCAGGAACACACAGUCCAUAAAAAUCUGGAAAAACGUCCAUCAAGAAUAAAGGUAAUGUGUCUUUUAAAGAAAAUGAGGAAAAGUUGAGUUCCUAUCUGUUAUGCUGUUUGUUGAAAGGACAAAUGUGAUGUAAAAUCUGUCAAGUAACACUACAUUUUUGCGUUAAUGCCAAACUAGUUUUUCACGGCAAUUGACGUGUCAACAUAAGUUUUAUGUGCCAAACUUAAACUGAAAUGUAUUGUCGAAAUUUUAUCUAUAAUUUGCAUUUCCAUCAGCUUUAUUUUGAUGCGCUAAAACUUUUUCACAAACAAUCCUUGAAUGGAAACUUGUUAUUGAUCUGCAGUAUGAACAGUCACUAAUAAACUGAUUCAUCCAUCAUCAGCCAACCUCUUAUGAAUAAUCCACCAUUCUUUCUCUCUCUCUCUCCAAUUUCUGCCCAUCAUCCUUCUUCCUGACCUCAUUUCACAUCUCUUCCCUUUUGUAGCCCAUAUUUUAUUUUAUCUCUUAUCAUCCAUUCGCCUUUUUUCUUUUUUUUUUGCCACUUUGCUUAUGGACAAUAGAACAGUCCUCCACUCGGUUGGUGCCUUCAGUGGGAGGAGCUAAGUGGGCUUAGUUUUGAUUUACAGUACUCUGUGCAACUUCAGAGACAUUUGUCCCUCUGCUAAGAGAAAAGAAGAGGGAAAAGGAGGGUUCAUUCAUAAGAAGGACCCUCCGUGUAAUCCACACAAGUCAGUGGAGAAGGAGUGGGGGGGACUUUCUCCUUUAUUUUAACUCGGGUUUCUAAAUUACUUUAGUUCCUGUGACACAAGUUUCUUGGGGAACUAGACAUUUUGAGUUUGGGUUUAUUAUGCUGGUUUCUCCACUCAACAUGAAACUGAUCUGGGACAACAGAGACAAUAUUCCGUUUUCUGACUGUGAGGCAGCACUUAACCAACUUGAGUGUGUGUUUGUGUCAGGACCCCCAAUUUACUGAUGUGGUAAAAUUCCCCAUCGUCUUUCUUUAGAGAUGAAAAGAACCACCAUCUCAAGGCUUUGUUUGCCUAUUCCCCCACCUUGCCCCCUAGAUCUCAUCCUUUUGAAUGGAAAGAGGCAGUGAAAGAGGCUUUCUUGCUGAGAAGUGAAAGUAGUUGAAACAUUGCAGCCGUUUUAAUGUUGCAUGAGCCAUUAAGAAUGAGCGAUGGUGAUUGAUAAGGAUGCACGUGUGAUUGGAGUAAUUUAAGGUCAGGGGCUCAUGCUUUUAAUGGGCCUAGUGUGUCCAUGUGUUCGCAUGCACUAAGCUUUAACUCUGCAGACGUUGAGGGAAUUAAUGUGAUGCCUAUCAUCUAAGUGCUGUAAAGUAAAGAGAUAAGAAGAGAGACAUAGGAAACAGAAAUGGCCAGUUAGUGUGUUUGGCAUCUGUUUGUCAGUGUAAACGUGUGUUCAUAUUUAUCUCCCUCUUGCUUUUAAAACAUUACCGUCUUGUGACUACACUCUUAGGAGAAAAAGGUUUGGGUUCUUUACUCAGCUCCAAAGAGCCUUUUUUUGCACAAAAUUCACAUGAUUGCUUAAUGUGAGUAUCUAUGUGUACAGUAUGUAUUUACUUUAUUAAAAGUUUUAUUUAUAAAUAGUUUUAAACACUACACUACAUUACUUUUGCAUUUGCAUUUCAUACUGCAAAAAAAAAAAGAAAAGUUUACAUUUUACUUCUUCAGCUUUGAGUUUGAUUAAAAUAGACAAAUGACAGAUGAUCAGAUCCAGUGUCCUUUCUCUUUAAGAUGACUGUUUAUCUCAGUAUCAUUAUACAGUAUACGGUCUUGUAUAUUCUUGACUCAUAAUUCAGCAACAGAUGCAUAAAAUUGUGUUUAUCAUAAACAGCAAACAACUUCAGCAUGUAGCGCUGUUUUUUCACUCCUAUCUACAUAGAGCAUAGGCAGCCGCGCACUCGCAGAUGUGCAACUUGCGCGAGUGAUCAAAACGCACGAGCAAACUAUUUCAAAUUUAAACGGUCACGGAAAGUCAGUUGAGCUAAAAGCUUAAGGGCGACAUUACCCUGCAAGCACAAAGAAGAAACGUCGACAAAUCUGUUUCGUCCAAGUCUGCACUAUUCUCCACCAGGAGAAAGCAUAGGAAAAACCAAAACAAGUUUCCAGGAGCACAUCACAGCCAAACAUUGAAUAAAGCCGACUGCACUGAAAUAGAUCAAGAGAAUAUCAAACGUCCAGUGUCAAAGUGCCAUAUUAAUUUAAAACUUGGGUUUUAGCAAAGACCUUCACCUGACUCGGAGAGCUCUUCUGAAUUCUGGCCACCAACAUCAUCAGAGCCAUGAGAAGUGAAAGUCACAUGGGACAUUUGACUUCAAAACAAUGGCAUAAUUGUCUUAAUGAUCAUAAAUGUCAUAAAAGUGUCUCUGGAGUGCAGCAUUACUGGUUUGACCAUCUUCAUACAGAUAAAACACAACACUCCUCUUCAUGGAUCAGCACAUCCAUCCUCAACCUGAUCUUUCAUAUGGUGUCAAGACCCCUCAGUGCAGAGUGUCGGAAUCAAACUGUUGACAUGUAGAUGGCUGUAGUCAAGUGAUGUUUUGUUUAAUUUGUUGUAUACAAAAGACCUCACUUAGUUUGUUUCAUUAUAACCAUGCUGUAGAAAGACCCCUCAGUGGCAACAGAAUUAUUCUGUAUUCUGUAAUUAUUCCGAUUUUCAUAGGUCAUUUGUUUUAUUUAUUUUAGUUAGUUAAAUGUACUUAGUUUUGCUCUUAUUUUUUAAUGUUACUUAUGGUUAUAAUUUUAACUUAUAGUUAAUGUUAAAUGAUUUAAUGUUAAUGAUUUUUACAUAAAUAUUGCUACUAUUUAGACUUUUACCUUAUUAUUACAAACCUGUGGAUUUAUGAAGUCAGUUAUUAUAACAAUCUGCAUUAUG